ACUCACAAGAUGCUCCAAAAACUGUGUAAGCAGUCGCAGUCGGUUCCUUUUUUCACAUUCAGCCACAAGGGGCUCAACAGGAAGCAGAGAACGAACAGAAAGGAUCAAGCCUUUAAUGAAAUCCUCUGGACACUCGUCAUCUAAAAGCUGCCCCACAACUAAAGGAGCAUUUCCUGGAUUGACCUUUUGAACAUAACCCUCAAUAUAUCGUAGCAUAUUGUUAGUGUACAGAUAGUGUGUGAGAUCAGGAACAAAACCAAAGCGGUCGCAAACAUUGAUCAGAGGUCGGGCAUCAGGAAGUUUGGCUUCCAUCAAGAAGUUCUUUGUCUUUUCAGGGUCGUAGAAGUUAGAUUCUCUUGUCACGCGCUCAACCUCCUUGAUUUGUCCAGUCCUGGCAGCUGCUUCGAUAUACUUAAAGUGGAUAUCAGGAUCCUCACUCGAACUCAAAUAUGAUCCCAAGAAGAAGUACAACCCAUCGUACGACUUGAACUGCUCAAAAAGCUUAAUGCAGGCAUCAAUACCCAACUGCUCACAGUACUCCUUUGCAACCUGAACUAUUAUUUGAAGGUUGCCUUUGAUAUUGAUCACCAGAAGGUCCUUCAUGCACUCAAGCGCCCAUUCACGUGAGACAGUCCCAAAGAACUCAACCAGAGCCUGAGGCUCAAUGGCAUGUGUAUUAACAAUUACGCGCUUGAUAUCAGGUAGUUCACUGUAGUGCUGCAAAGCCCGAAUAUAAAGACCAGCUUUUUCACAAAGCUGAGCAAUUCGUGGUCGAUCAUAAUGACUGAACAUUCCAUUGGCUAAUAUAGCAUCAGCAACAUUUGGGAAAGUCACAAGGUUGAUUUCCAAGACCUUAGUCUGCAGGUAACCAUGCUCUGGAAGGUUAGGCUUCAGAACAUCCAACAAAAAUGCUGUUGCCUCACGGAUCAUGUUCCUCUGAAGAAAUAGGUCGGUGAUUGUAUUGUAAUCAACAGGACACCCUCCCUCCAUUUGAGACAUCAUGAGUGCAAAAUUAACAGCACCCUGAGGAUCGGAUCGAAGAAUUGUUUGCAGCAGGAACAAAUAGUCAGGAGUAUAUCCAACCUGCUUUGAGUAUAUCAGAAUCUUGUCAAACUCCCUGCGCUCAGCAAAAGCGGCAACAACUUUUGGUGUUGCUCUUGCUUUGAUGUAGAUCUUCAAGGCAAGGUCAUUAUCAACAGUCUUCACAAGGUCGCCAAGUUCCUCACUACACUCUAGCUUAUCUUCAGCCAACCAAUUCUCUAAGAGGUUCUUCUUAUUCUGGUUGACAACAAGUCGUGAAAGUUCCAAAGACUCGAAUGCAUUGAGCUUCCCUUUAGUCAAGAGUGUACCAAAGUACUGCAACAGAGGAGGUGUUUGCCCUGCUUGAACAGGAACACUCUGAAAUUUAGCAACAGUAUCCGGUGUACGGAGUAUGCCUUGGGGGGAUUCUGCAGCAAGCUCAGCAGCCUCUUUGUACUUGGUUUGAGCAAACAAAUCUUGAAAGCGCUGGACAACCAAAUUCUCAGCACCAGGAAGGUUUCCUCUUUUG
rnacentral:misc_RNA from 1 species